rnacentral:tRNA from 1 species
GAGACCCUAGUAAAAAUAUUAUAUUGUUCUGUCAGCACUAAGUUAUGGGCAACCAGUCCCAUGGUUCUCA